rnacentral:rRNA from 1 species
UACGAAGGGGGCUAGCGUUGCUCGGAAUCACUGGGCGUAAAGCGCACGUAGGCGGCUUUCUAAGUCAGGGGUGAAAUCCUGGAGCUCAACUCCAGAACUGCCUUUGAUACUGGAGAGCUUGAGUCCGGGAGAGGUGAGUGGAACUCCGAGUGUAGAGGUGAAAUGCGUAGAUAUCGAGAGGAACACCUGCGGCGAAGGCGGGUUGCUGGGCUGAUACUGACGCUGAUGCGCGAAAGCCAGGGGAGCGAACGGG